rnacentral:rRNA from 1 species
UACGUAGGGGGCGAGCGUUGUCCGAAGUCACUGGGCGUAAAGCGCGCGUAGGCGGGCCGAUAAGUGGGAAGUGAAAGGCUGGGGCUCAACCCCAUGCAGUGCUUCUCAUACUGUUGGUCUUGAGGUCGGCAGGGAGAAGUGGAAUGGCUGGUGUAGCGGUGAAAUGCGUAGAUAUCAGUCGGAACACCGGUGGCGAAGGCGGCUUCUUGGGCCGCACCUGACGCUGAGGCGCGAAAGCCAGGGUAGCGAACGGG